rnacentral:rRNA from 1 species
AGUGGCGGACGGUGAGUAACSCKGAGCAACCUGCCCUUGUGUGGGGGAUACCGUCUGGAAACGGACGUUWAWUACCGCAUAACGUAUUGGAGCUGCAUGGUYCGAUACCAAAAGAUUUAUUGCGCAAGGAUGGGCUCGCSUYCCCAUUAGAUAGUUGGUAGGUAACGGCCUACCAAGUCGACGAWGGGUAGCCGGACUGAGAGGUUAACGGCCACAUUGGAAMUGAGAUACGGUCCAGACUCCUWCGGGAGGCAGCAGUGGGGAAUAUUGGGCAAUGGGGCGAAAGCCUGACCCAGCGACGCCGCGUGAAGGAAGAAGGUYUUCGGGAUUGUAAAACUUUCUUUUAUUAGGGGACGAAUGAUGACGGUACCUAAUGAAUAAGCCACGGCUAACUACGUGCCAGCAGCCGCGGUAAUACGUAGGUGGCAAGCGUUAUCCGGAUUUACUGGGUGUAAAGGGUGUGUAGGCGGGACUGUAAGUCAGAUGUGAAAACUAUGGGCUCAACUCAUAGCCUGCAUUUGAAACUGCGGUUCUUGAGGGUCGKAGAGGUAACUGGAAUUCCAUGUGUAGCGGUGAAAUGCGUAGAUAUAUGGAGGAACACCAGUGGCGAAGGCGGGUUACUGGACGAUACCUGACGCUGAGACACGAAAGUGKGGGGAGCAAACAGGAUUAGAUACCCUGGUAGUCCWCUCCGUUUUCUAUGAAUGCUAGGUGUAGGGGUGCAAACCUCUGUGCCGCAGUUAACACAAUWAGCAUUCCAUCCKGGG